rnacentral:rRNA from 1 species
UACGUACGAGGCGAGCGUUAUCCGGAAUUACUGGGCGUAAAGCGCGCGCAGGCGGAUGGGUAAGUAGGGCGUGAAAUCUCCCGGCCUAACUGGGAGGGGUCGCCCUAAACUGCUCGUCUUGAGGACAGCAGAGGUAGGUGGAAUUCCUGGUGUAGUGGUGAAAUGCGUAGAGAUCAGGAGGAACACCGGUGGCGAAGGCGGCCUACUGGGCUGUCUCUGACGCUGAGGCGCGAAAGCUCGGGGAG